rnacentral:lncRNA from 1 species
CGACGUCGACGGCAUCUUCGACCCGCCCUACUAUGAGUGGUUCCAGUUCGACAAGGUCCUCCACCCUCCACCUUCCCCCCUUCCUCCCGUAUUCCCAUUGCCUGAUCUCUACUACGAGUGGUCUGUUAUUCAAAUUUGACUGGGACAUGCAAAUUUUUGAUAGAUUUAACUUUUCUCAGACACUUCAGGCGUGUAGUAACAAUUAAAUUGUAGGUUAA